GUUUGAGACUCGUGCUUAUUUGGCUGAAUCUAAUAAUUAUGAAUUAUUUAUAUUAUUUAUCAGUGGCAUUUUAUUUAAGUAUGAAUGCAGUUUUGGCUUUGUAAAUUUGGCUUCUUCUCAUAUAGGCUGCUUGUGUUCAUACCUUUGUUUGGCAUCAUCAACUUUAGAAUUUUAUUACAUUGAACUGUGUGUUUGUUACAUGCAAUUUCAGAAUUUUUUCAUGAAAAAGAGCAAAGAACAUUUACAUGACAAAUAUAUCUCAUCAUAGGAGUUGUUAUUUCUUUCCGAAAGGAAGAUGGAAAUCAUACAAAUCCUCCAUUCAAGUAAUGACAGUGGACAAUAGCAAGCAAACAAAACAAUAACAGCCAACACAGGGGUUGAAUCUAACGGCUAGACUCCCACGACGUAGCAAACCAAAAUUUGAAUCUCGUUGCAAUAAAUGUUCACAUUUAGUGCCCGAUAGCGCCUAAAAAACAUAACGCGCCAAAAACUNNNAAUUACUAAGUUUAAUAGGUGAAUGCUGCAACAAAGAGCAUCAAUAUGGUUUGAUCGGUGCAGCGAAGGCACAAUCUGCUGCCUUAACAGUAUUUGUGCAACACAAACCUAGAAAAUACAACAACAAGAAGCAAGCUAUAUCCCACUAAGCGGGGUGAUACAGAUCUUUCGUGAUAGCCUAAUUAGAUACUUGACAAUAAAUCGGACCCAUUCAUGUUACAAUAAUGAAAUCGUCCAAUUUUCAGCACACAAACAAAUUAAAUUUUAAGCUUAUAUUCAAACAAAUUACAGCAUCAUUAAAAUCAAAGUAAUAGAAAAUUGAAACCAAAAUCUAUGUACCUUUGUUAAAAUUGAAGUCCACUAGCUUGCAUUGAUGCUUCCUCAAACGGUUCCUUUUAAUUAAAAUUUUAAAGUAGUAAAAUAUUCGCUAUAAAAGAAAACGAGAGAAAAUAUAAGUGGAUAUGAAAUUCAAGAUUAACGAUGAUGAGAAUACAUAGCGUUGGAUGAUGUUUACCGUCAGGUCUGUGGCUGGUCUAUCACGGGCAGCAGAAAAUGGCCGUCAUGGCAGAUCCGGUG
rnacentral:lncRNA from 1 species